UCCCCCCACCCCAUUUGUACUCAAAUCCAGGAUGUGGAGCUUCCCCCCACCUCACCUUGGAUUCAAGUAAAUACAGCCUACCCUCACACAAAGAUCUACACAGGGAGGGAUUGAAAUGGCCUUGAAACAUGGAGUUUCCUUAUUUACCCAACAGGUGAGGAGAGUUCAGAAGAAUUGCAGAGGAAGCAGAGGUGUCUGUGAAAGGGAAUCUUUCAUUUCCACUGGGUCCUGCUCAUGUGUCCUUCACAUGACUUUAAUUAGAAUUGUGUCUGAUCAAAAUUAUCAGACUAACAGUUUUAUUCUGCUGCACUGCUUAAUACACAAAUAAAAAUCUGAAGAGUUCUUUGAACCUUUUAACCACUUAGUCAUUCACAGCCAUGUUUGAAACCGAAAGGCUUUCCCCAGAUUUAGACACCUGUAUUUAUAUACCUAAUAUACAUAUGUGUUUCCACUUCUUUUUUUUCUGCCUCCUUUUUCAAAGGUCGUGAGUACCAGCAAUUCCUUUUGAUCUUGACACAUCUCUUUAGGUUUCCAAGUUAUCCCACUGGUGCCUGAUGUAUCUGGUAAGUGCUUAUUGGUGUCACCACUGGAGUUACAGAAUAUAUUUUAGUUUAUAUUUGUAUUAAGUAAUCAUAGUUUUGGUUAGGAAAAAAAUUGGAUAAGUAUAUUUUUUGGUAUUUUUUAAAAAAGAAACUUGUUAACCACCAGUUUCUAGACUCUGCAGAAAAUUGUAGACAUGGAUCUUUUAAAUUUCAUGUUAUAGUAGUUUUUUCAACUGUUUUGGAUUUUGAUUGAUUUUUAUUUUUAUCAGUUGCCUUGUCCCAAGGACAUCCAAAGAGAGAGGAGGUAUUAAUACCAUCUCAUUUGAAGUAACACAGCUGAGGUAGGUUGUGUGCUGCCUAUUUUUAAUCAUGCUAAUGCAUUUUGUUAAUCUGAUAUCUAAAAAGUGCUGAACUCUAGCUUUGGAGAAAGUAGAGGUAAAGCUUGGGCCCACAGAUCUAUUGUUAUUAACAUUUUUAUUAACUUUAUGGAGGAUAUUAUGUGGAUAUUCCAGUGAUGGAUUUCACUAGGAGAUGACAAUAAAUGUUGAUGCAAAAGAAUGUGUCCACAAGGCGGGUUGAGUAUUCUUUUUCAAAGCUCUAGCUUGCUUCCAUUAGCAUAAUACAUUGUGAAUCAUGGAUCCACUGUUCAUCACAUUAUCCACAUUGAACAAGGAUAAUAUAAGCAACAAAACUAUCUAUUAAAUAUGUGUCUGACUUUAAAGUAAAUGCAAUUUGAAUCUCCUGAGUGACUCAAAAAUGGGAUUCUAUUUCAAGGUAAGCUGCAUCGGUCAUCUAAGACUUAGUUCCUUCUCAGCAAUUUAUAUUUGGCACUUCACCGUGAAACUUCCUCAUAACUUUCCCCUUGCUUGAGAUGUUCUUGACAUGCCAUAUUUACCUACAUACAACUCAAGCCAUUUUUCCCAACCUUCCAAAAUUGGGAUGCGUGUCUUUAGUGGGAAAGCUGAUUUUCUUUGUAAACAUUUUAAAUUGUGCUUUUUCAGUUCUGUACCCUGGCAGUUUUGACACAGUGCCACAUGUGUAGCUUAUAGACAAAUCUGACCACUUUAAUUAUGUAAUUUAGAUCUCAUUGCUCCAUUUAGCUACAUGGGAACCAUAGGCAAGUCUAAAGCCCUUGUACUGCACUAUGAGCUAAGUGAGAUUUUUAUCACAAUUAAAUUUAAGCUUAGCUAUUACCGUUUGCAGUAGACAAUUGGGUUGAAACUAUUGCUGACUCUAAGUAAAGCCACCAGCAGUUAAUGUUAAAUUGUACUCUUGCAACACUGUCCUGGAAAAUUACCAACCCAGUAACAAAUCAACUUUUUCUAUGAAAAAAAACUGGCAUGAAGAACUGAAAGAUACUAGCCUGUCAAAAAGUAGUUAUUAUUAUGACUGAGUUAAUAUAAUUUUGUAGUAUUACCACUUAAUCUGUCUUGGAUUUUUUUUCUUAAUCAGGUUAGCUAAUUAGUAUCCACGCCUAAUCUGGGUUUUGAAGUGCAGCUUUUCUCUGCUGCUUUCUGGUUUCUGCAUGAGUAUGGAUCAGUUUUUAUGAGGGUUUCCUUCUAGUUCUUUCUUACUUAACGUGUGAAAAUAUUAAGUGUAGAAUGUAGGAGAUCUAGAAAGUGCGUUUUGGAAGGCAUGAUCAAGUAUUACACAUUCGUAGAUAGGUGUGUUGACUGACAUGCAUGAAAUAUAGAAGAAGCUGAGGUUUGGGGUUUUUUUAAACUGAACAAGUAAUUUAGUAUCUCUGGGUGUGGAUCUCAACCUGCCAGGCCCAAAGGGUGGAACACAAUAAAAACAAAGGAAGGAAACUUGAGAUGUUGUAUGAUUAAUUCGUUUUAUAUGAGUUGUUUCCCACAAUCUUUGUAAUUAUUCAAUUUUAUUACAUUAAUUUCUAAUAAAAUGGUAGGAUGGCAGUAGCUGUUUGGACAUGAGACAAUCUGAGAGUUUGUCAUCAGGAAAAGGAUAUCACUUCUAGAACUCCUUUUAGGAAAUACUUAAUAGAGCUCAAGAUUUCACUGAGAAAUUUGCUCACAGAAGCAGCAGAUUAAAGUAUAUAAUAUGGGAAAAUUUACUGCCUGCUUUGGUUUGGUUGACUUCUUUUAAUGAUUUAAAAAUAUUUCCUUGUGUUUUGUAAUUUUGCAAUAUAAUACACAACACCUAAAACUCAUUAAACAGUAGACAUUUUGCUAAAGUCAAAUAAAUAAGCUAUUAUUUGACACAGUGCAGAAGCUAAGCACAGAAAGAACAAUUUUCCUCUUUGUAGACCACAAAGCCUGCACCUUACAAAAAAACCCUUUUAUUAAAAAGGUAAUUUACUUGACUGUGUUGGUAUAAGGUCAAAUCAAGACUUUAUCAGAGACUCAACAUUUGGAAAUCAAAGCUGGUAAAAUUAAGUCUAUCAAAGUUAAUUUUCUUUCAAGUGUAAGAAGUUUAGCUGCAGCUAAUCAGCAAAUUUUCUAUAUUUCUUUAAGAUUUUUAUAGCACCCAUCACUCUUUCCAAGCAUUUUCUUGGUAAAUUAUAUCUGCAGUAAAAGAAAUGAGAACUUGUUAUAUAUCCACGUUGAAAAGGAUCUAUGGAAAUAUAAAUGUAAUUACAUAACAAUUUUUAUACAUGCUGUCUGAGCUCUUUUCCAAUUGCCCUUGGGUGUUGUGUGGGUGUGGAAAGAAGUGCAGUUUUACAUCACUUACCCAGAUGACCUGGUGUGAUGUAGAAAGCCAAAGUUCUUCACCUAUAAAAGAGGUGCAAUGUCAAAUAAAAUCAGACUCCUCAAUGUGUUA